rnacentral:rRNA from 1 species
CCUACGGGAUGCAGCAGUGAGGAAUAUUGGUCAAUGGACGAGAGUCUGAACCAGCCAAGUAGCGUGAAGGAUGACUGCCCUAUGGGUUGUAAACUUCUUUUAUCUGGGAAUAAAAUGUUCCACGUGUGGGAUUUUGUCUGUACCAUCUGAAUAAGGAUCGGCUAACUCCGUGCCAGCCGCCGCGGUAAUACGGAGGAUCCGAGCGUUAUCCGGCUUUAUUGGGUUUAAAGGGAGCGUAGGUGGAUUGUUAAGUCAGUUGUGAAAGUUUGCGGCUCAACCGUAAAAUUGCAGUUGAAACUGGCAGUCUUGAGUAGAGUAGAGGUGGGCGGAAUUCGUGGUGUAGCGGUGAAAUGCUUAGAUAUCACGAAGAACUCCGAUUGCGAAGGCAGCUCACUGGACUGCAACUGACACUGAGGCUCGAAAGUGUGGGUAUCAAACAGGAUUAGAUACCCUUGUAGUC